GCAGUCAGUCCACUGCAUCCUGCACCAAAUACCGCGACUCUUUUAACCAUGGUGGAAUUCUAGUUGAUAUGAUGAACUGGAAUUCUGAUUUAUCCCCAAAACAGCUUCUUCUUGAAUGAGUUUGUGUAAGAGAGGAACUGGCUUUUAACAUAUCUCCCGCCCUUAUGGAGUACAGUGCAUCUGUUUUAAGCAAA